ensembl:lncRNA
CAUUAACCUGUUUUCUUUGUUUUCUUUAUUUUUAACUUUCCAGCUUUCCAUUGCCAUCGAAGCGUUACACCCCUUCUCCUGCACCAGGGCCCCAACAGAGCCCCCUUCUGGGUGGGCUCCCAGGGAGCUUUUUACUGAUUGGACAGCAAGCUGCAUGCUUGCGGCUGGCUCAGCUGAACGCCCACCUUACUUUGACACAGAUAAAUAAUGCUGUUGCUGUUGGUGGUCGAACCAACACACACGCCCCAUUUAUACCCACAACACCCCCCUGCCCGACAGCUGCAGCCAUCAGUCUACUGAACCUUCUGAAGGUUGCUAACACCAUGUCCCAUCCCUUAUAUAACCCCUAUGCCUCUGGGAAUCAAAGUUCAGCCCAGGGGCGCUAUGGACAGUCCAGUAUGCAGGCAGAGAGAGACUCUCAUAAGACAUCUCCUCAUCUUGGGCCUGGGUCCAGCUUUAGCUCUUCUGGAGUUUCAUCUGCGACUCCUGCAAAAUCUGGGGGAAUAAUGAGCUACAGGCCAGAAGGGAGUAAGACUUCAAUGGAAGAGGACAUAAAGAGGUCCAUAGACAUGCAUAUAAGCAGAGCCAGAGAGGAGGUGAGAAAUCAGCCUGUAAAAAAGAACAGUCGUUUUACCAGCACUCAAAGAGAUGAGUAUGAUUCUUCAGGCAAAGAUGUGACUUCCUACAUGUUGUCCUCAAACUCUCAAAGACCUGAUGUUGCAAGUAGCACUAGCUCCAUGGACUGGUUGCCAAGAUACAAACGGGAAACUGAGGAUGAUUCGUCUAAAUACUGUUCAUCAUCUGCUUCAUUGAGCUAUCAAAGCACUGGCGACAGUAGGUUUAAUGCCUCGAAUGAAAGAGAGCGCAAUGUGCAAUCAAUUCCAGGCUUAGGUGAUUAUGACUACCCAGUGCCAGACAAACCUGUGGGUUCUGCAGAGUCUACUCAUCCCAAGUACACUUCAGAAACAGCUGUGAACAUCCUUAUGCAGUUUGGACUUGAAAAAGAGGACCUGGAACAUCUGAUCUCAUAUCCCGAAGAUCAGAUGACUCCUGACAACCUGCCUUUUAUCUUACGACAAAUCCGCAUGGAAAAGGCAAAGAGAUCUGCAACAGCAGAUCCAUCAAAAUCCUACUAUGAUCCUCAUUCCACCACAAGUAUGAGUGGAAGGGAAAGGUUGAGUACUUCAAGAGGGGAAGGGAUGCGUCAGGAUGAAUUGUCACCUAUUGUCCAAUCAAGUAAAGUGAUUGAUUAUGGACAUACUGGAAAAUAUACUGGGAGCUUUGGGGAUGAAAUUGGAAGAAGCAGCAGUGGAGCCAGUAGUGGUGGAAGUGGAGGUACGCUGCUGAUGGGCUCCUAUGAUAGUAGCGGUCACAGUCGAGAACCACUGCAAAAAAGUAUGACAGAGGUGAAAAACAGCACCUUGGUUUCUUCCCGUGAUCAAGGCAGCUCUUUUACCAGUCAUGGCUCAAUGCGAAGUAGUGGUCCAGCUCAACAACUGCCAACACAACCAAACCAGCCUUCUCAAGAAAUCUUCAAAGGUUUCUCUCUGCCAAAGACAGACACAGACUUAAGACCUCUUAAAGCAGAAGUCACUAAAACCCUUCCGUUGAAAAAUCCAGAGCCAGAUCGCCAGUCAGCAUCAAAAAGCCAACUAACUCCUAAUAUAGUUCGUAGUGUGCAUCCAAGUCGACCUGGCCUUGUACUCAUUGGCAGCAGCAGCAGCGACAGUCACAUCAAAGAAAAGAGUAAGACUCACGGGCAAAUAUCAAAUGUUUCUGAGCAGAUGAACAAACAGCAAAUGCAGCAGAAGCAGGUACAACAGCAACAGGUGAAACAGACAAUGCAACAACCACCACCAAAGCAGCAGAUGCAGCAACAGUUGAAGCAACAACAGUCAAAGCAGCAGCAGACGCAGCAGCAGCAGACGGAGCAGCAGCAGAUGCAGCAGCAGACGCAACAACUGAAGCAGCAGACGCAACAACUGAAGCAGACGCAGCAGCAGCAGACGCAACAGCAGCAACUGGAGCAGCAGCAGACGCAACAACAAUUAAAGCAGCAGCAGCAGAUACAACAGCAGCAACUGAAGCAGCAGCAGCAGACGGCCCAGGUACCUAACCUGCCGAUUGGGUUGCAGCAGAUGCAGAAUCAGCCAGCUGUGCAUAUGGGACAAGCUUUGCAGUCUCAAGUUUUUUCGGCUGCAAAGCCAGUUCCACAGCCGUCCCUCAUGCCAGGGCUCACGAUGCCCGUUCCUCCGGGUCUCUCGCCGCUAAUGCAGAACCUCGUGAAUUUCAUUCAUAUACCGCAGCCCGCUUCCACCAAGCAGCUUCCAGCAAAGGUAGAAGUGACAGGGAAUAUCCCAGUGCUGGCCCAGAUGCAAGACUACACUGCCACUUCACCUAGGGUCUUUCCGCAUACCUGCUCUCUAUGUAACAAGGAAUGUAAUCAGAUGAAGGUAAGUCGAAGAUUGUUCGAUGUUUUUGCUUUCAGUCAGUUUUUAUUUAUUUGACAUGCAAUGUUUUUUGUUUUGUUUUUUAUUUGAUUUUGGAUCGAAUUAUAGGACUUUGGUUUGGGAAAAACUUCAUGUAUGCUACUUUAAAGUUUAUUUGUUUGUUUUGUUCACUAUUCCUGCAUGAUGGUGACUAUAGGAAGACUACCAACUUGGCUUGCAAACAUUUGGACAAAUUUUUCACAUAUUUCUGCAAUUCAGUAUUCUGUACCAGAAUUUCUGAAGGAUUACAGUGCAGACUAAACUUAACUAUAUGUCUAUCAGAUAUUGUAAUUGAAAAACACUACUAAUAAGAGACCUUCAGAAUCUUCAGUGGUCUGUACUUGCAAUUGAUAGAUUUAAUCUCUUUUAAAUUGACAUAAACUGAUGCUAAGACAUUCAAGGCUUUUGCUAACAAUGGAACCAAGGCCUCAGAUGACGUGAUGAGGAGAAACCUGCAAACCUGACGAGCCUGUGCAUCAGAAAAUGUUGGAAGAUGGCUGGUUUUUCAUUUGUCUCUGUUCUUGGGCUGCUGUUCCACAGUGCACAUUCAGCUUUGCUUUUUCUGGAACUGUUGCUGAAUGUAAAAGUUCCCCUUUUUGUCUUUUGUCAUUAGAGUUAAGAAUAGUGUGUUUUGUCCUUUAUUUCACAUUAGUGGGCACCUUGUUUUUGUGUAAUACUCGCUUCUUCUUUUUUUUUAACUCAUACUUUCUUUUUAAGUUAGUGUUUCUGUGUCCCAAAAGGCAACAUCAUUUACUACCACAAACAUAAGCACCCGCUGCGCCCAGUCAUGAGCUACACAAGCACCAGAUUUGAUUUGAUUUGUUGUUGAAUCUCUCUUUAUGGAUCGGCCUUCCUUCGCUGCACCAAAUUUCACAUUUGAGCUCCUCGUCAAAGAAACAGCGCCUUCCUCUUCUGGUCUAUUUCAACGUCAUCUUCCUGUCGCUACUCCAACUGUGAUCGUCAUCGGCAUUUUGUCCUAAUCCAAACUUGGCCUCUCCUGAGACGACCUUCUUGGAGCUUCGGGAAAGUUUGAUGCCAUAAGAAGAGCCUGAGAGUCCAGAAUCCAGAGCCUAAUUGACCUUUUGUUUUGGUUGUUUGUAAUCAGAUGUUUGACUUGUGUUUUCUAUAUAUACUAAAUAAUUUCACUUUUAAAAUUUUAUCCCAGGAAAGGUAUAAUGUGUCACGCUUAUUUGUUCCUGGUUUUUGGCCUAUGAAGGUUUAAAUACAAUCCAGGCUCCUGGCUAAUGUUAUAAUGCUUCUGCAUUCAGUGAAGGACUAACUGUUAAUAUUUUAAGAAUUUUUUUUAAGGCCACUGCAAAGUUUAGUGACCUUUUAUCAGCAAGUGAUGUCAAUGACAAACGUUGCUCCUGAUAAUAAUAAACCUUGUCUAAAUGUUUGUGUUUUGUUGUGACCACUAGGAUUGGGUCUCCCACCAGAAUACCAGCCUUCACAUCGAGAACUGCAAACUUCUGCGAAAGCGAUACCCAGAAUGGAACGGUGAAAUUGCAUCACUGCCAGGUGCAUCAGGUGCCAAGCCCUCUCCCUCAACUUCUGCUGAGACUUCCCAGAAGAAAACCAGACAUGAGAGUCGUUCCC